GACGAACGCUGGCGGCGUGCUUAACACAUGCAAGUCGAGCGGUAAGGCCCUUUCGGGGGUACACGAGCGGCGAACGGGUGAGUAACACGUGGGUGACCUGCCCUUAGCUCUGGGAUAAGCCUGGGAAACUGGGUCUAAUACCGGAUAUGACUCCAUGACGCAUGUUGUGGGGUGGAAAGCCUUGUGCGGCUAGGGAUGGGCCCGCGGCCUAUCAGCUUGUUGGUGGGGUGAUGGCCUACCAAGGCGACGACGGGUAGCCGGCCUGAGAGGGCGACCGGCCACACUGGGACUGAGACACGGCCCAGACUCCUACGGGAGGCAGCAGUGGGGAAUCUUGCGCAAUGGGCGAAAGCCUGACGCAGCGACGCCGCGUGAGGGAUGACGGCCUCGGUUGUAACCUAC
rnacentral:rRNA from 1 species